CCUACGGGGGGCAGCAGUGGGGAAUAUUGGACAAUGGGCGAAAGCCUGAUCCAGCCAUGCCGCGUGUGUGAAGAAGGCCUUCGGGUUGUAAAGCACUUUCAGUGGGGAAGAAAGCCUUGGGGCUAAUACCCUCGAGGAAGGACAUCACCCACAGAAGAAGCACCGGCUAACUCCGUGCCAGCAGCCGCGGUAAUACGGAGGGUGCGAGCGUUAAUCGGAAUUACUGGGCGUAAAGCGCGCGUAGGCGGUCUGAUAAGCCGGUUGUGAAAGCCCCGGGCUCAACCUGGGAACGGCAUCCGGAACUGUCAGGCUAGAGUGCAGGAGAGGAAGGUAGAAUUCCCGGUGUAGCGGUGAAAUGCGUAGAGAUCGGGAGGAAUACCAGUGGCGAAGGCGGCCUUCUGGACUGACACUGACGCUGAGGUGCGAAAGCGUGGGUAGCAAACAGGAUUAGAAACCCUAGUAGUC
rnacentral:rRNA from 1 species